GACAGAGGUGCCGAGCGUUAGGCGGAAUCACUGGGCUUAAAGCGUGUGUAGGCGGAUGCCUAAGUACCUUGUGAAAUCCCACGGCUCAACCGUGGAACUGCUCGGUAUACUGGGUGUCUUGAGCCACUUAGGGGCAACCGGAACAAACGGUGGAGCGGUGAAAUGCGUAGAUAUCGUUUGGAACGCCAAUGGUGAAAACAGGUUGCUGGGAGUGCGCUGACGCUGAGACACGAAAGCCAGGGGAGCAAACGGG
rnacentral:rRNA from 1 species